GUGGGGUCCGCUUUGCUGAUCCUUGACGUGAUAAGAUGUUUCUACGUUUUGGGUUUAGCACUGUCCCUUGGACGCCUGCUCCUAACCGUCUCACCGACAACGAUGGUGCUCUGGUCACCGCCGUCUACAUCGGCGGGAGGCUGGACCCACAAAAAGAAAACCUUGACCUCAAAUCGGGUGAGACUACCCGCUGAACUUAA
rnacentral:misc_RNA from 1 species